rnacentral:rRNA from 1 species
GGAGUUAGCCGGUGCUUCUUCUGCGAGUAACGUCACAGAUGUAAGGUAUUAACUUACACCCUUUCCUCCUCGCUGAAAGUGCUUUACAACCCGAAGGCCUUCUUCACACACGCGGCAUGGCUGCAUCAGGGUUUCCCCCAUUGUGCAAUAUUCCCCACUGCUGCCUCCCGUAGGAGUCUGGGCCGUGUCUCAGUCCCAGUGUGGCUGAUCAUCCUCUCAGACCAGCUAGGGAUCGUCGCCUAGGUGAGCCUUUACCUCACCUACUAGCUAAUCCCACCUGGGCUUAUCCAUCAGCGCAAGGCCCGAAGGUCCCCUGCUUUCCCCCGUAGGGCGUAUGCGGUAUUAGCAGUCGUUUCCAACUGUUAUCCCCCACAAAUGGGCAAAUUCCCAGGCAUUACUCACCCGUCCGCCGCUCGUCAUCUUCAAAAGCAAGCUUUUGAAAUGUUACCGCUCGACUUGCAUGUGUUAGGCCUGCCGCCAGCGUUCAAUCUGAGCCAGUANANACAACUCGACUACGAGACGGCGUCGACGACGACGC